CUGCAGAGAACAUCGCUGCUGUGGUUUGGGAAAGGGAUCCCAAUCAGGUCCUCCUCUCUGUGAUGAACCAUCCUCCUCCCUCUGUGUCUCUUUCACGAUUCCCCUCACGUGUCUUUGUAUUUCCAGACUACUAAGAGGCUCCGCUGCUCCUCACUUGACCUCUCAGCAUCCCUCUCUUAAAACUGAAUUGCAGCUGCCGCGCUUUCUUUCUUUUUUUUUUUGCCCAGCUGUCAAGCAGGUCAGUCCAUUCAAAAGCUCCUCGCUCUGGGCACUGAUGCCCAUUCAGAAAAAUAAAAUGAAAAUAAGAAGAGGAAAGAGAAGAAGGGAAAGAAAAAAAAAAAAAAA